rnacentral:rRNA from 1 species
AGCAGCCGCGGUAAUUCCAGCUCCAAUAGCGUAUAUUAAAGUUGUUGCAGUUAAAAAGCUCGUAGUUGAAUUUCGGGGUCAGUAGGUUGGUCGUGCCACUGGUAUGUACUGGCCUCACUGAUUCCUCCUUCCUGAUGAACCGUAAUGCCAUUAAUUUGGUGUUGCGGGGAAUCUGGACUGUUACUUUGAAAAAAUUGAGUGUUUAAAGCAGGCUAACGCUUGAAUACAUUAGCAUGGAAUAAUGGAAUAGGACGUUCGAUCCUAUUUUGUUGGUUUCUAGGAUUGACGUAAUGAUUAAUAGGGAUAGUUGGGGGCAUUAGUAUUCAAUUGUCAGAGGUGAAAAUUCUUGGAUUUAUUGAAGACUAACUACU